rnacentral:ncRNA from 1 species
ACCGAUAGCGAACAAGUACUGCGAGGGAAAGAUGAAAAGGACUUUGAAAAGAGAGUCAAAGAGUGCUUGAAAUUAUCGAGAGGGAAGCGGAUGGGGGCCGGCGAUGCGCCCCGGUCGGAUGUGGAACAGCGAGAGUCGGUCCGCCGAUCGGAUCGGGGCGUGCACCGACGCGGGUCGUGGCGGCGGCCCAAGCUCGGGCCUUUAAUAUGCCUGUGGAGACGUCGUCGCCUCGAUCGUGGGAUCCAGCACGCACCGUCUCGGCGUACUUCGGCACCUGCUUGCUCCGGGCGUCGGCCUCCGGGCUCCCCAUUCGGCCCGUCUUGAAACACGGACCAAGGAGUCUGACAUGUGUG